rnacentral:tRNA from 2 species
CCCUGGAUAGUUUAAAGAAAACACAACGUUGAAGCUGUUGGGUUGGUUUCGCGGCCUCUGGGGA